rnacentral:rRNA from 1 species
CCUACGGGUGGCAGCAGUGAGGAAUAUUGGUCAAUGGCCGGGAGGCUGAACCAGCCAAGUCGCGUGAGGGAAGACGGCCCUACGGGUUGUAAACCUCUUUUGUCAGGGAGCAAGAGGCAGGUCGGGACCUGCUGCGAGAGUACCCGAAGAAAAAGCAUCGGCUAACUCCGUGCCAGCAGCCGCGGUAAUACGGAGGAUGCGAGCGUUAUCCGGAUUUAUUGGGUUUAAAGGGUGCGCAGGCGGAGGCACAAGUCAGCGGUAAAAUCGCGGGGCUCAACCCCGCCCCGCCGUUGAAACUGUGUCUCUUGAGUGCGCGAAGGGUAGGCGGAAUGCGUGGUGUAGCGGUGAAAUGCAUAGAUAUCACGCAGAACUCCGAUCGCGAAGGCAGCAUACCGGCGCGCAACUGACGCUCAUGCACGAAAGCGUGGGUAUCGAACAGGAUUAGAUACCCGUGUAGUC